GGACGAACGCUGGCGGCGUGCCUAACACAUGCAAGUCGAACGGAGUUAAGACUUCGGUUUUAACUUAGUGGCGAACGGGUGAGUAACGCGUGAGAAACCUGCCUUUCAGUGGGGGACAACAGUUGGAAACGACUGCUAAUACCGCAUAAUGUUGCGAGAGGGCAUCCUCUUGCAACCAAAGCUUUAUGUGCUGAAAGAUGGUCUCGCGUCUGAUUAGAUAGUUGGUGAGGUAACGGCUCACCAAGUCGACGACCAUUAGCCGGACUGAGAGGUUGAACGGCCACAUUGGGACUGAGAUACGGCCCAGACUCCUACGGGAGGCAGCAGUGGGGAAUAUUGCGCAAUGGGGGAAACCCUGACGCAGCAACGCCGCGUGAAGGAUGAAGGUCUUCGGAUUGUAAACUUCUUUUAUUAAGGACGAAGAAGUGACGGUACUUAAUGAAUAAGCCACGGCUAACUACGUG
rnacentral:rRNA from 1 species